CCUACACUCUAAAAAAAAAAGGUUCCUUGAGGUUCUAUAUAGAACCGUGGGGUUCUAUACUUGGCCAAUAGAACCUUUUACCAAAAAACGGGUUCCAUAUAGAACCCUUGGAAGGCAAAGAACCAUUUUUAUUAAAAUGGUUCUAUAAUUCACGUUUUGUGACUGAAGUGUAAUCUAAAGAUUACACAAUAAUUGCAGACCUACACAACUCAUUUACAAACCUACACAACUCAUUCACAAACCUUUUUGUGUCAAUAGGUUGUGGUCAAAUAAAGAGAGAGUCAACAAAUAGGCUACUAAUAUUUAGUGUACACUGUAAAAAAUCCAACUAAUGAAAUGUUGGACGGGCAAAAAUAUAUAAGUUAAACCAAUUUUUUUGUUUGAGCUAGUUGAGAAGAUCUGUGUUUAAAAUAUUAAAUGAAUGGUUAUUUUCAAAUCCAGUCAAAAUUCAGAAUGGCUAGUGUUGACUGAACUAAUUAAGACAAAUCAGGUAAGUACGUGGAGUUAUGACUAUGUUUCCUGACAACAAAAUGCUCAUAAUAUUACUGUUAUUUGGUCACAAAAUGUAAUUGUAAGAGUUGUUCAGGCGUGAAUGUAUGUGCUUAAAGUUUAAAUAUGCGGUCGGUUAAUAAAGAUAGCGUCUAUUUAAAAAUGUGCUCGGACACUUUCGGACGUAGAUGAGCUCCAUAUGAGCUCCAGAAAAUCACAGACACUUAAGCGCUCACACCCCGCCCAGCGCAGCCUCUCCUCGGCAAGCCCGACUGCUGGCUCUGAUAUCUCUGUGGCGUUUAAACAUGUGAUUUAAUUCAUUUUGAUUUCUCAUACUUAACAAUGAAAGGGUUAUGUUUUAAAUCAUAUUUUAGGAUUGCACUUAAUUGAUAUUGCUGUUGAGUGAUGUUUCAUAUCUUUUACAUUUGUUAUAACCGGACUGCAUGCGAAUUUGAACUUCAGAUCUGAAGGAGCGAGUGGAGAAAUAGUCCCAAUAUCAUAACAAUCUUAAAUAAAACUUCUAAAUAUAACGUUACCCGUGUGUGUACCCGUGUGUGUACCCGUGUGCGCGCGCGCGUGCGCGCGACCCGCUUGCGCGCGACCCGUUUGCUCGCGCGUGUGUAUGUACAGUAUGUGCGUGAGUUUUUAAUUUAAAAUGUCUUAACUUAACUCGGAAGGAUCUGAAUCACAGGUCAUUUCAUCUGAGAUCAUUCCGCAUGUAACAGCCGGAAUCACUCACUGUUUCCCACAACGACACGAGUCAUCAGCCGUUUCCUCAAGGUCACGUCAGAGUGGUGAUGAGGAGAGGCAGAGACCACCACCAUACGCGAAGAUGAGCCUCGAGGCGUGACAGUUAUUUUUUCAAACUGAGGAGUUCGGACUCCGGACCGUCAUUUCUGCUUGUUUGUACCCUGAGAUAACCAUGGUUAAUAAAUGGUCAGACACGUCACUGGCUUUAAAAUAUAAACCCCAUUGAUGCAAAAAGAUGCUGCAUGGAAUGACAAUGUGGUUUGGAACAGACUUGGUGAAGAACAUGGAAACAUCUCUAAAUAAAAUGGCCCCAAACAUCAUCAGGAGUGCAAAAGAAGGAAGUAAAAACAUCUCUACGCCAAUCUCAUUGGAGAGGAAACCACAGAAGGUCUGGUGAGGAAUGCUGCACUUAUGUUAUUGCAAGCAUUAUUUCAAGAAAAUCCCAGCUUCCUUUACUGUGUAAAUAGUGAACCCAAAGGUCCCACACCAACCAUAGUGUUCAACGGCUCUCCUGAUCUGUUCAAAUCUGAAUGUAUCAACUUUAUAAUGGACAAUGUGAACUUAAUAUGUGGAAGACAUUGACAUCACAGGCUGUGGAAUGACUUUGUCACAGGUCGGAGAAGCGGACCGCCCCUGUCGCGGAUCACGCUCCUCCUAGUUCCACCUCGAGGAGGUCCCAAAGCACCCCAAUGACCAGACAAACCAGAGGGGGAGUAUUACGGGGCCAGGGACGUUGGAGGGGUUUCCAUGUGACUCCAGCUGGAACACCGCUACAGAGCGUAUCUGGGUGGGUUGGGCACACACCGUCGCGGCGGCCCCUGAUGGCAUCCACAAGGGUCCAAGACCCUCCUAAGCUCCUAGCCGUAGCAGAACUACGUAUUUCAGCACCCGAAGGACUAACAACCCAGCCGGCAUCUGCAGCGUAUAUUCAACGCGAUCAAACUUCACUCUGACAAGUAACUUCCUAUACACAACCACGCCGUCCUUUCGCCCGGACCAGCCCCGCACUCUUUCCGCCCGCUACCUAGCAGUCGCCGGAUCAGCAGAGCCUGCGGACUCUUCGGAGGCUGGUCUUCGUUGUGCUGCCCAAGGCGGAAGUUGACUCGCCCGAAAAUCGACCCUUUCAGUAACUUCUACCUUCUCUCUUUAUAUCCUCCUCCCAGGCGUGGCGAGCCUGGGAGGAGGAUAUAACAGCUGUGCCUUGUUUCAGCGAGUGCGGGGAUUCCCGGGGAACCCUGAAGUGCCGGUGUCUGUACAAACCGGUCCGGGCGGAACCUCUUCACUCUCCUUUUGGUUCCGCCCCGCAUAGUCACUCCGUGACAACUGUUUGCGUUUUUUUUUCUCCUCAAUGUUCAAUACCCUUUUGCCAUUAAGCACACAGUGACUUUAAUUUAUAAAAUAUAUGCUUAAGUUUUAAUACCUGUACAAAACAAAUGUACAAUCAACUUGUGUAAAUUGUCAUUCUAUUUAAUAGAUUGUUCAUGAAUUGUCUUUAAAUGCAUUGUGAUUUCGGUAACACUUUACAAUAAAGUUCAUUAGUUAACAUUAGUUAAUGUAUUAACUAACUUGAACAAACCAUAAGCAAUACAUUUGUUACAGUAUUUAUUCAUCUUUGUUAAUGUUAGUUAAUAAAAAUUUAAGCUUUAAUUGCUUGUUCAUGUUAGUUCAGAGUGCAUUAACUAAUGUUAACAAGAUUUUAAUAAAGUAAUUGUUGAAAUUAACAUUAACAAAGAUUAAUAAAGGCUGUAUAAGUGCAGUUCAUUAUUAGUUCAUGUUAACUAAUGUAGCUAACUAAUGUUAACUAAUGAACCUUAUUGUAAAGUGUUACCGUGAUUUCUUUUCAUCAUUUCAGACACAUGUAAAAGUUACUAAAAAUUAAUACUGCAUAUACUGUACAGUAUCUAUGCGUAAGGGAAAUAACUUAAACAAAAUUUUUAAUGUAUAGUGUAAUUAAGAGUUUAGCUGUUUAAUACAGAGAUGCAAUUUAUUUAUAUAUAUUAUUUAUAUAUAAACGUAUGUAUGUUUAUUAAAAAGUGAAAAUGCUUAAUGGAAAUAAUUAAAUAACUAAAUGGUUGAA